UAGGAGUUUUAUUAGCAUCAUAAAAAUUGAAGCUACAUAUUAAUUGGCACCCUCCAUGGGAGUUGCUCGCAUGCUACACUUCUCUACUGCUCUUAAAAGCUACUUAUCAUUACCUUACUUUUGGUUAGUCGUCCUCUGUUCUUUGUUUCUAACAGAAAAAGAUGCUUUGCAUACUUUUAUUGUUACUCGCUUCAUGUUUUUGCUCUAACAGAAUGCCCAUUUCCUCAUAUUUCUCUUCUGCCUUGUGUACAUGUUAGAGACAAUAAUUUUGUGGUAAAAUCCAUUUCACUAUAUAUAUUCCACAUGAUGCAUAUGCUCCUUUCUAACCUUGAUAUACAAAAGAAAAGACUAAUGGCGUUGUUAGCUAUAGAAAUAUUUCAACAUAAAUUCAUACUUUGCCUAGCUUUUUCUGUUUUUGUUAGUAGCUGCCAACUAGUUAGCGGUGAUGAGUUGGCAUUCUUUGCCAGGCUUAAUCUUCCAACAGGGGCAAGGGGUCCGGACUCUCUUGCUUUCAACGGCAAGGGGGACGAGUUUUAUACCGGUGUAUCUGAUAGGAGAAUCCUCAAGUAUGAGUUGGCGAAUCAUGCUUUCGUCAAUUUUGCAACCACCUCACCUCUCAGGUAAAUUUUGCAUCAGUUGUGCUUUUCGCCUUUGCAAUAAGGAGCUGUUUGAAUAAGCUUAUUUUUCAGAAAUAAGAGCUUAUAUUUGGAGAUCUAUUUUUUCCUGAAAUAAGCCCUUUUGUUUGUCAAAUAACGAAUAUGAAACACUUGUUUAACAUUUAUAUCCAAAAAUAUUAUAAAAAGAUGCAUUUAUUUUUAUAAAAAUAAGCCUUAAAUUUGAUAAGUAUGAUCUGGCAAACGGGUGCUAAGUUUGAAGGAGAAAUUAGCUACUUAUAAUAAUGAUAUUAGCCUUCUCCAGACGGACAGACACCAUUUGAAUGCAUAGUGUAGCAUAGUUGAAGAUCAAGUUUUGGGGAAUGAUAUUGAAAUUAUAAUCACCCAUCCAUUUUCAGGAACAAAGCAAUUGGUGAUGACAGAAACGAUACAAAAUUGGGAGAAGCUCCUUGUAGGCCAUUAGGAGUCGCAAUCAACUACAAUAAUGGUGACCUUUAUAUUGCGGAUGGUGUAUGUGGACUAGCUGUAGUGGGUUCAAAUGGAGGUGUUGCCAAUACAAUUGCCAACAGCGUUAAUGGCAUUCCUCUUCUGUUUCCCAAUGCCAUUGAUAUCGAUCCAAAAACAGAAACUGUUUAUUUUACAGAUGCUGGCUCUAUUUUUCAGAAAAGGUUGAUCACACACAUAUGUUGCUUCUUUUUCCAAUCAAGCUUAUGCUCUAUAUUCAUUGAGUUUAUUCUGUUUGUCUUUGAAAUGUUGCAGUAUGGACAUUAUAGAAAUACUCUCAAGUGGAGACACGAGUGGAAAAUUGCUCAAAUAUGAUCCACAAACCAAACAAAUUUCAGUGUUGCUAACAGAACUUUCUGGUGCAACUGGUGUAGCGGUUAGUGGAGAUGGAGCUUUUGUGCUUGUUUCGGAGUACAUUGCCAAGCAAAUCCGCAGAUACUGGAUUAGAGGACCGCUAGCCGGAACAUCAGACAUAUUUAUUGAACUUGCAGGGAGCCCUGAUAACAUCAAAAGGACCGUGUUGGGAGAUUUCUGGGUUGCAGUGACCAUGGUGGAUUUGCAGCUAGCUGUACCAAUACUGGUGCCUUUCGGACAAAGAAUAAAUCCUAUUGGUGUAAUUCUGGAGAACUUUAGUCUUGAGGUGCAAUACAGAAAUGCAAUUGUUAGUGAGGUUCAAGAAAAUGCAUGGGGAAUAUUUGUUGGAACCCUUUUAGGGAGUUCUGUUGGAAUUUACAGAAGAUAGUAAUAACAAAUUUAUAACAAUAAAACAUUAGAGAACACUCUUGACACAUAAAAAGCAUUAUAAAACACAAUAAUUUUUCAGCAACUUAAAUUGUUACUCGAUUUUUAUGGUUUUUUGCAAAGGUGGAGACACAAAUAGGGGUGCAAUCCCCAGACAAACUUGUAUAUCAUUCAUCAACUGUUGAAGCUCUUUAAGUGUUGUAUUCGCCAGGCCUGCAAGAGACCGAUAAAACAACUUCACUCACUAUGAAAGUGUCUUGUAUUAAUAAUUAUUAUUAUUACUGAAAAAAAUAUAUGAUAAUAAUCAAAUUUUGAUAUUUUGAUAUUAACAUGAAAUCUUAUUUAUCUAAAGUUUGAUCCAUGAUAGAAAUUUUAUAGAGUUGUUUAGCAGAUUAAAUUAUUUGAAUUUUAAAAAUUUAAAUGAAUAGUUUUGUUCACAAUGUAAUUUGUUGAUUGGAAAAUUGUUAUAUUACAAAAUUUAUAAUAGUAUAAUAAUAAUUAUUAAAUAAAAAUAUAUAUAUGAUGAUAACAAAAUUUAAGUUGUUUUGUAAAUUAAAUUAUUUAAGUUAUAAAAUUUAAAUGAAUAAGUUUGUUAAUCGUAAUUCUGUUGACGAGAUAUAUCAUUAUAUUACAAAAAUCCUGAUCUAACAUGAAAGUCAUAAAAUAAUAUAUUUAUUAUGUACAAAAUAUGAUAAUAUCAAAUUUGGUAAUUUGGUAUUUGGUCUGAUGAUGUUUCGCUAAAAGCUAAUUUCGCUUAUUAAUAAAAAAGUAUUGAUAUGGAUAAUAUCAAUUUGGCUAUUGAUAUUAAUAUAAACUUUUUAUUUAUUUGAAUUCUGAAAAAUGAUAGGAAUUUCACAUGAAUUGUUUCAUAAAUUAAAUUAUUUGAAUUUUAAGAAAUUAAAAUGAAUAAUUUUAUUGGCGGAAUAAUUGUUAUAAUAUAAAAUCUAUACAAAUAUGAAAUUUUUUUUGUAAUAGUAAUAAUUGUUAAAUAAAAAAAUUAUAUGAGAACAACCAAAUAUAUUAAUAUGACGAUGACCAAAUUUUAAUAUCUUGGUAUUUGCUACUUCUGAUAUUCCGUUAAAAGGGUUUUCAUCAUGAUUAGAAUUUUGUAAAAUUGUUUCAUAAAUUAAAUUGUUUGAUUUUUAAAAAUUAAAACUAAUAAUUUUGUUAGCGAAUUAACUCUAUUGGUGGUAUAGUUGUUAAUUACAAAUGUUAACUACUAUAGAAGUCUAUUUAUAUAAUAUAAUAAUUAUUAUAAAAUCAUAACCAAUAUGAAAGUCGUAUAAUGGGUGCGAUAUGAAUUCGAAAUAAAAUUCAUAGAAUAUAUAUGAGUAAUUCAAAGGAGAAAUAAAAAAACUUAUUCAUUUAAAAAUAUCUCUGCCAUAGUAUUUUUAAACAAAAAAUUAUAUAACACGUGAACCAAAUUUAUGUACGCUUUUAAUUUUAUAGAAUUGUUUCAUAAAUUAAAUUGUAUAACGUUAAAUUAAAAUGAAUAAUUUUGUUGGUCGUAUAACUAUUGAAUUACAAAAUCUUAACCACGGUAGAAGUCUUGAAGUUUUUUGUUAUAAAGUCCUAAUCAAUAUCAAAAUCUAAUUAUUAUAAAAUCCUAACCAAUAUUGAAAAAUUCUUUUCAUAAUGAUAUAAUAUAAUUAUAAAAUCCUAACCAAUACAAAUUUUUUUCAUAAUAAUAUAAUAAUAAUUAAUUAUUAUUAAAAGAAAAAUUAUAUGAUUACAAAAUCAUAUUAACUAUUUAUGUCGUCUUUAAUUAUGAUAUCCCAAUCAAUCCAUGAAUGUUACAAAAUAAUAAUAAUAAUUAAAUAUAAUAUAAAAUAACCGAAUUUUGGUAUUUUUGUUGAUGUUGAAGUGAAAUGUGGUUUGGCUUAUUAGGUUUUAUGGACAUCGAAACUUAACAUGGUUUCUAUUUAGGGUAAGUCAAGUGGUAAAACUAUGAUCUUGGCUUCGAUUUUUAGAUCCAAUUCUCGCCUAUAUCAAAUCUUAGUUAUAGAUAAAUUUAGGUCCAAUUCUCGCCUAUAUCAAAUCUUAGUUAUACAUCUUGGGUUCGAUUCUCAUCUAUAUCAAAUCUUAUUUAUAGAUUUUCGGUUCGUUUCUCAUCUAUAUCAAAUCUUAUUUAUAGAUCUUGGGUUCGAUUCUCACCUAUAUCAAAUCCUAUAUCAAAUUUAGGUAGUUAUCGACUAAAUUGGAUCGGUGGAGUAUUAUGUAAAAUUUGUUGAACUUGUAUGAUAUUGUGCUUCAUAAUUUUAAAAAUCGUAUGUUAUUAAUAUUUUAAAUUAUUAAAAUAAAAUAUUUCAAUUCAAUAUGAAAAUAAAUUAUGAGUAAUUUUCUUAUAGAUUUCUUCAGGUCUAAGAUAUUGGUUAUAUUUUUUAUUUUUAUAUGUCAAGGUUAAGGAUUUUUCAUGAUUAGAGUUGCUCUAAUCUAGUUUAACAUGAGAUUAUCUAUAUUCUUAUAUAUAAUUUGUGUAAAUGCAUUCUCAUGUUGAUCUUUUAGACUGUAGUGUAGGUCAAGAGAUUUCAAUUUGAUUGUUAACCCUAGUAAGAUUUUAUAUUACAUAAAAAUUGAAGCUACAUAUUAAUUGGCACCCUCCAUGGGAGUUGCUCGCAUGCUACACUUCUCUACUGCUCUUAAAAGCUACUUAUCAUUACCUUACUUUUGGUUAGUCGUCCUCUGUUCUUUGUUUCUAACAGAAAAAGAUGCUUUGCAUACUUUUAUUGUUACUCGCUUCAUGUUUUUGCUCUAACAGAAUGCCCAUUUCCUCAUAUUUCUCUUCUG
rnacentral:lncRNA from 1 species